rnacentral:ncRNA from 1 species
UUACGAAAAAGGCAAACCUAUUGAAAAAUAGGGACGCAAAGCCACGGGCCUACAGCUACUAAGCCAUGGCAGCCGGUUUCCGAA